rnacentral:rRNA from 1 species
AUACGGAGGGUGCAAGCGUUAAUCGGAAUUACUGGGCGUAAAGCGCACGCAGGCGGUCUGUCAAGUCGGAUGUGAAAUCCCCGGGCUCAACCUGGGAACUGCAUUCGAAACUGGCAGGCUAGAGUCUUGUAGAGGGGGGUAGAAUUCCAGGUGUAGCGGUGAAAUGCGUAGAGAUCUGGAGGAAUACCGGUGGCGAAGGCGGCCCCCUGGACGAAGACUGACGCUCAGGUGCGAAAGCGUGGGGAGCAAACAGGAUUAGAUACCCUGGUAGUCCACGCCGUAAACGAUGUCUAUUUGGAGGUUGUGCCCUUGAGGCGUGGCUUCCGGAGCUAACGCAUUAAGCACUCCGCCUGGGGAGUACGACCGCAAGGUUGAA